rnacentral:rRNA from 1 species
AUUGAACGCUGGCGGCAUGCCUUACACAUGCAAGUCGAACGGCAGCACGGGUGCUUGCACCUGGUGGCGAGUGGCGAACGGGUGAGUAAUACAUCGGAACAUGUCCUGUAGUGGGGGAUAGCCCGGUGAAAGCCGGAUUAAUACCGCAUACGAUCCACGGAUGAAAGCGGGGGACCUUCGGGCCUCGCGCUAUAGGGUUGGCCGAUGGCUGAUUAGCUAGUUGGUGGGGUAAAGGCCUACCAAGGCGACGAUCAGUAGCUGGUCUGAGAGGACGACCAGCCACACUGGCACUGAGCCACGGCCCUGCCUCCUACGGGAGGCAGCAGUGGGGAAUUUUGGACAAUGGGCUAAAGCCUGAUCCAGCAAUGCCGCGUGUGUGAAGAAGGCCUUCUGGUUGUAAAGCACUUUUGUCCGGAAAGAAAUCCUUGACUCUAAUACAGUCGGGGGAUGACGGUACCGGACGAAUAAGCACCGGCUAACUACGUG